rnacentral:tRNA from 1 species
AAGUAAGUAGUAUCAAUAGUUAAUGAAAGGAAAUUUUGUUAGCUUAUUGAUUUGUAAUCAAUAGGUCCGCGGUUCGACUCCGUGCGGGGGCACCA